ACUGCCGCGAGAAAAGCAGAGAACCAAAUAUAGAAAAGGAAGCACGCAUCAGUAUGUUCAAGUUCAUGCUUGUCAUUGUUGUCCUCAUGCAGAGCUGCAGAGGGGAUGAUCAUAGCAUAAGAGCGGAGCUCAUACCCUACAUUUUGGCUCUCCAAACAGAACUCCGAAGGGAACUUGGAAACUGGUCCUUUACCGGAAAUAUUAGUUUUCCAUCAACCAGAAAAUUGAGACACGCAUGUGACUGUCGGGGUGUAUAUUCAGAGGCACUGAACACAACUUGGCACCAGUUGAAUUCCAACCGCCCAAAUAUCAAAGAUCUGCUCACUAUACUAAAGGAAAACACUGAGUCCCUUUCACGACCCCAAACGAACCACACCUGUCCAAUGGAUGUGAAAGAAUUCAACCCAGAAGCAUUAACAAGAUUAGGCAAUUCCCUCAGGAAACUAAAUAACGAAUGCUAGAGCUCCAAUAGUCUUCAAGAUUGAACAUGGUGCAAUUGCCUCCAAAAAGUUCAGACACAAAUAACAAUAUAUCGGCUAUGUUCUAACACAAUAUUUUGUAUUUAAGACUUCAUAGCAGGUCAAUUGAAGUAACCUUUUGAUAAUAUAUCAUUUAAAAGAUUAUCAGGGCAUUUAUUUAUGAAUUUAUUUAUUUAUUUAUAUGUAAUUUAAAUGAUUAUCAGGGAAUUUAUUUAUUGUUUAUCUAUUUAUACAUAUAUUUAUUUUGUAUUUAAGUGACUUCACAAUGUUUUCAUUUGUUGGACAGUAUUACAAUACAUGGAUGUCAUCCACUGAAAUGUGAACAAUAAAAUAAAAUGAUUUGCAAAUACAU